UACGUAGGUGGCAAGCGUUAUCCGGAAUUACUGGGCGUAAAGCGCGCGCAGGCGGUCUUUUAAGUUUGACGUGAAAGCUCCCGGCUUAACUGGGAGAGGUCGUUGAAGACUGGAAGACUUGAGGCAAUGAGAGGGGUGUAGAAUUCCCGGUGUAGUGGUGGAAUGCGUAGAUAUCGGGGGGAAUACCAGUGGCGAAAGCGGCACCCUAGCAUUAGCCUGACGCUCAUGUGCGAAAGCGUGGGGAGCGAACGGG
rnacentral:rRNA from 1 species